GGUAAAAUGGCUGAGAUUAAGCGAUAAAUUGUAAAUUUUUUUACGAAGUUAAUUCUUUUACC
rnacentral:tRNA from 1 species